rnacentral:rRNA from 1 species
UGGAAGUAAAAGUCGUAACAAGGUCUCCGUUGGUGAACCAGCGGAGGGAUCUGGAUGGAAAUAUAUUCUCAAGCAAUCCUUCGGUAAUUGUACCUAAGGAACGUUCCUGAUCGCCGGGGGCUCCCUCCGGGCCCAACCUCCCACCCGCGUUGCCCGAACCUAUGUUGCCUCGGCGGGCCCCGCGCCCGCCGCCGGCCCCCCUGAACGCUGUCUGAAGUUGCAGUUUGAGACCUAUAACGAAAUUAGUUAAAACUUUCAACAACGGAUCUCUUGGUUCCGGCAUCGAUGAAGAACGCAGCGAAAUGCGAUAACUAAUGUGAAUUGCAGAAUUCAGUGAAUCAUCGAGUCUUUGAACGCACAUUGCGCCCUCUGGUAUUCCGGAGGGCAUGCCUGUCCGAGCGUCAUUGCUGCCCUCAAGCCCGGCUUGUGUGUUGGGCCCCGUCCCCCCCGCCGGGGGGACGGGCCCGAAAGGCAGCGGCGGCACCGCGUCCGGUCCUCGAGCGUAUGGGGCUUCGUCACCCGCUCUAGUAGGCCCGGCCGGCGCCAGCCGACCCCCAACCUUUAAUUAUCUCAGGUUGACCUCGGAUCAGGUAGGGAUACCCGCUGAACUUAAGCAUAUCAAUAAACGGAGGAAA